rnacentral:rRNA from 1 species
AGUGAACGCUGGCGGCAGGCCUAACACAUGCAAGUCGAACGGCAGCACAAGAGCGCUUGCUCUCUGGGUAGCGAGUGGCGGACGGGUGAGGAAUGCAUCGGAAUCUGCCCAUUUGUGGGGGAUAACCUCGGGAAACCGGGACUAAUACCGCAUACGACCUACGGGUGAAAGCAGGGGAUCUUCGGACCUUGCGCAGAUGGAUGAGCCGAUACCGGAUUAGCUAGUUGGAGGGGUAAAGGCCCACCAAGGCGACGAUCCGUAGCUGGUCUGAGAGGAUGAUCAGCCACACUGGGACUGAGACACGGCCCAGACUCCUACGGGAGGCAGCAGUGGGGAAUAUUGGACAAUGGGCGCAAGCCUGAUCCAGCCAUGCCGCGUGUGUGAAGAAGGCCUUCGGGUUGUAAAGCACUUUUGUUGGGAAAGAAAAGCAGCCGGUUAAUACCCGGUUGUCAUGACGGUACCCAAAGAAUAAGCACCGGCUAACUUCGUG